GGCAGACCUUGUUAAAUAAUAUUUUAUGUUUCUUCCUCAUAAUGUGUUAUAUUUUAUAAAUAUAUUCUUAUAUAUCUUAUAUUACUUUUUGCCUUUUCUUAUACGUUGAAAUGGGAGAAGAGGGGAUCAAUGCUGGUGCGAAGGUGAUCCUGCACAAGGACAUGUCUUUGUAACUAGUGUUAGAGGACCUGUAGACUGAACAAAUACUAAGGACAUUACAAUUACAUGCCUGGAAAAGCAUCACAAAAGAAGAAUGCAACAGUUUGGUGAUAUCACUGGGUCAUUGGCUUGAUGCAGUUAUUGCAAGCAAGGGAUAUGCAACCAAAUAUUA
ensembl:lncRNA